ACAGAGACAGAGCUUCCAUGCUGGAGAGAAAAAAAGUCACUGAGGGGACAGAUCACCUGUGGCCAGUACCCGUACUGUCAUUCCAGGACGUCACCUAUCACUUCAGAGUGGCCAAGUCUAGUGAAGUGAGGUGUGGCGUAGAGGAGGAGAAGGUAUCCACCACCACACCACCAUACUCUGACUUCUACUUCCUCAUUCAAAGCAGCUGCGCAUGAGAGGAGAGGGAACUAAGCAUGCAAACGAGCGUGCUUGCUUUGAAUCUAGCCUAUCCCCUGACUGACUCAGGGUUUCUUAAAGGGACAGUUGCCCUUUUAUCUACUUCCCCWGAGUCAGAUGAACUCGUGGAUACCCAAUUUUUAUGUCUC